GGGUCAGUAGGUUGGUCGUGCCACCGGUACGUACUGGUCUCACUGAUGCCUCCUUCUUGAAGAACCGUAAUGCCAUUAAUUUGGUGUUGCGGGGAAACAGGACUGUUACUUUGAAAAAAUUAGAGUGUUUAAAGCAAGCUAACGCUUGAAUACAUUAGCAUGGAAUAAUGAAAUAGGACGAUCGAUCCUAUUUUGUUGGUUUCUAGGAUUGACGUA
rnacentral:rRNA from 1 species